rnacentral:rRNA from 1 species
GACGAACGCUGGCGGCAUGCCUAACACAUGCAAGUCGAACGAAACGUUCGGGACUAGUGGCGCACGGGUGCGUAACGCGUGGGAACCUGCCCUUAGGUUCGGAAUAACUCCCCGAAAGGGGUACUAAUGCCGGAUAAUGUCUUCGAACCAAAGAUUUAUCGACUUUGGAGGGGCGCGCGUUGGAUAAGGUAGUGGGUAGGGUAAAAGCCUAACAAGGCGACGAUCCAUAGCUGGUUUGAGAGGAAGGUCAGCCACACUGGGACUGAGACACGGCCCAGAAUCUUACGGAAAGCAGCAGUGCGGAAUAUAGGACAGUGGGCGAAAGCCUGAAGCAGCAAUGCUGCGUGAGUGAUGUAAGCCGUAGGGAUGAAAAGCGCUAUUACCCGGGAAGAUAAUGACGGUACCGGGAGAAUAAGCCACGGCUAACUACGUG